rnacentral:rRNA from 1 species
GACGAAGGGGGCUAGCGUUGUUCGGAAUUACUGGGCGUAAAGCGAGUGUAGGUGGUUGUCGUAGUCAGGCGUGAAAGCCUUGAGCUCAACUCAAGAAAUGCGCUUGAUACUGGGCAGCUAGGGGACCGGAGAGGAUAGUGGAAUUCCCAGUGUAGUGGUGAAAUACGUAGAGAUUGGGAAGAACACCAGUGGCGAAGGCGGCUAUCUGGACGGUUUCUGACACUAAGACUCGAAAGCGUGGGGAGCAAACAGG